rnacentral:rRNA from 1 species
AUUGAACGCUGGCGGCAUGCCUUACACAUGCAAGUCGAACGGUAACGGGCCUUCGGGUGCCGACGAGUGGCGAACGGGUGAGUAAUACAUCGGAACGUGCCCGAUCGUGGGGGAUAACGAGGCGAAAGCUUUGCUAAUACCGCAUACGAUCUACGGAUGAAAGCAGGGGACCGCAAGGCCUUGCGCGGACGGAGCGGCCGAUGGCAGAUUAGGUAGUUGGUGGGAUAAAAGCUUACCAAGCCGACGAUCUGUAGCUGGUCUGAGGGGAUGAUCAGCCACACUGGGACUGAGACACGGCCCAGACUCCUACGGGAGGCAGCAGUGGGGAAUGUUGGACAAUGGGCGCAAGCCUGAUCCAGCCAUGCCGCGUGCAGGAUGAAGGCCUUCGGGUUGUAAACUGCUUUUGUACGGAACGAAAAGCCUUCUUUUAAUACAGGAGGGUCAUGACGGUACCGUAAGAAUAAGCACCGGCUAACUACGUG